ensembl:lncRNA
GUUUCCUGGCUGGAACCAAUGCAGUAUUUAAUGCUUUGGACAUGGUAUAUGCGACUGGAAGGCCAAGUGUGUCGCAUUUGGUGCAGAUGGCGCUUCAGUCAACAUGGGUGUGCAUAGGGGAGUGAGUGAGUGCUCUACUCAAACAGGCAGACGGACAGCAUGUAAUUCCCAUUCAUUGCAUGCUUCACAGGUUGGAGUUGGCCAGUCUCAACCUGCAGCUCAAUGAGACAAUGGUGGCCAAAGUCUAUGACCUUCUCCAUCUUGUGUGGAAGACGUACCACCAGAGCCCUAAAUCCAGGCGUGAGCUGAACCUGAUUGGAGAAGAGCUAGGAAAAGAAGGGAGUCUGUCAACUGACAGUGGUCAGUAUUCGGCUGUUUUGCGCCACAUGGACCACCUUCCCUCCUCAGCAGCCAGUGCUGAAAUUCAAGGGCGUGCAAAGAAGAUUAGGAAGGGAAUGCACGAGAUUAACUUCUGCGCAUUUAGCCAUUUCCUGGCUGACGUGUUUAAUGAACUGGCCUUGCUCAGUUGCGUUCUGCAGAAGAACGACCUAAUUUUUCUUCAAGCCAUCUCAGCGCUGAGAAAGACAGUGAUGGUGUUGCAUGCUAUGCAGGAAACACCGCAAAGAGGAGGCAUGCUACGUCAGUUCAUGGAAUGUCUACAAGGGCAGGAAGAGAUCUCAUUUCAAUUCAAUUUUAUUUGUAUAGCCCUUAAUCACCAUUACAGUCUCAAAGGGCUUAACAGGCCAAAUAUUUGUGACACCCCCCUUUACCCAUGCCCCCACACGGGCAAGAAAAAACUCCCUUGAAUCAGCAAGGAAGAAAUCUUGAGAAUCUAUUCAAUCAAUUUUAAUCACCAUCACAUGUCUUUUACAUGUCUGUGUGAAAUAUUCUGUACAUGUUGUGUGCACAAGCUAAUGGAUGCUAUAACUAGGUAUGUUCUGUUAUUUUUCCAUAAUUUUUUCUUAACGGGUCUACCACUCGAAGACUACUCUGCAGUGAAUUGCAUGAAAAUCUUUCAUCAUGACUCCUGGCCUGAGAAUACCCAUGAACUGGUUGAUUAUGGCAACGAUCAGUUGGAGGCCCUAAUGGAGCAUUUUCGUCAUGUCCUUACAAGGCACGUUGCUGUCUAAUAUCAUAGAUUUGAUGGGUUACCAGAUUAUGAAACAGAUGAGGGACAAGCCUAUGUUUUUCUCUCUCUAGCUCUGGAUGCCAGAUGGAUGCUUUGUCAGGGGAAUGGCAGAGUUUGAAGACCCUCGUCAGCCACACGUUUAAGGACAAGUCCUACAGCAGCUUAUGGCAAACAGUUUCAACCAAAGAGCCAUACAGAACUGACUACAAGGUAACAUACAAUUCAGCACUUAAAUGGAAGGUUGUACUUUAAUUGUAAUGAGGUAUUUCUGGUAUGUAGAUAUUUAUUUUGAUCAGUUAGUAUGAGUCCCUUUUAAAUUACUUACAGAACAUCCUACACCCUGUGGACAUAUUGUUGGUCCUCCCAAUUUCUUCUGCACAGUGUGAGCGGGGCUUCUCUGCGCAGAAACGCCUCAAAAGCUCUUUGAGGAGCUGCUUGCAUGUCUCCACCACAGAGGAUCUUAUCAGGAUCACUACAGAGGGCCCCUCACUUGAAUUAUUUGAUCCCACUAAAUGUGCCGAACACUGGCUGUCAGCUGGAAAAUGGUCACGUCGACCCAACUACAAGUCAUGGCCAAGUGAUUCCGAGCCCGUCAUGAUUUUUGUGUAGCCUAAAUGUGAUCUUGUCUAUUUAUCUUUAGUAAAUUGGUGCUGUAUUGUGUAGCCUAAAUGUAAUCUUGUCUAUUUGUAUUAAUUUAGUUUUAGUAAGUUGGUGCGGUUGGUUUGUGCAAUUUCUGCACGCUAAUAAAUGUUCUUAACAAAAACCUGUUGUGCCCCCGUUUUUUUUUCUGUGCUCCUACAUUUUUUAACUUAGGGGCACGAGUGCUCCUGAAAAAAAAAGUUAGCGUAGAGCCCUGCUCAGGGGUAUUGAGCUCUUCCGCUGUUUGGGAAGGGUUAUCCUGUUGUCCCUCCUGGUUAGGCACCUCCUCCUGUAAUGUAGUCAGUGACAUGGAUGAUAAUUUUGUAGUAUUUCUGUAAAUAGUUCUCUGAAAUGUUUUUUUUUGUUUGUUUUAAUUGUUCAUUAUUGCCAUCGUGUUGCCUUUUUCUUUCAUCUACAACUUACUAUUUUUUUAUUUGUAGUUGUAGCCCUGCCAACUUCACUAUAAUUGUCUAGUGUAUGUUUUGUGCAAUAGCAUCUUUUUUUUAGAAACCACACCUGCUGCACCACUACAUUCUCAACCCCCUGUUCCUGUGCUUCUUUGAUAAGUUCUGUUCCACUCAGUUCCUAUUCCUUAUGAAAAUGCUAAACUUUGUUCGUAAUGUUUCAUGUUAUUGUUUCUGAAUGUUCAAGUUUUCCUUAUGUGACCCUCACCUCCACAGCUCCCGGUCCCUGUACUUCUUUGUUUUGUUCUGUUGCACUUGGUUCCUUUUUCUGAUGACAGAUGGUUCAUAAAUAAAACAAACAUUUAUUGGCACUUGUGUUUGGUUUUGAUUUGGGGAAAAUUCUGUUUUUUUUAUGUACAGUAUUGAUAAUCAUAU